UUUCAUGAAACUCGAAAGAAAGCUAAUGAAACACUAGAAAAUGGGGAUCAAGAUAAAUAUGAUGAAAUUGUUCAAGUCAAACAAGCAAACCCUUCACUUUCUGACAUUGAGAUAGUUGAGAAAAUCUGGGGGAAGCAAUCUCAUGGUCACAUCACUGUAUUUGGUGGCGGGACUACUUUAAAAGAUUUGAGAGGACCGCUCCCUAGUCGAUCUGAUCUGGAAGCACGGGUUAUAGAAGAAAAGAGAAAGAACCAGAUGCUUCAACAACGCUUAGAUGAGCAGGAGCAACAACAACAAAGGAUGUCUGAGUUGGAGUCACAAGUGAAAGCUAUGCAAGAACUUUUUUUUAGGCAAUCACCUUCAUUGGCUCCUCAAACUCAAGAACGUGUGCAGGAUUAGGCUAUCCAUGCAAGAUUAGGAGGGGGGUAGCUCGAGUCUUCUUUAAUUUGACG